GACGGGGGGGGCAAGUGUUCUUCGGAAUGACUGGGCGUAAAGCGCACGUAGGCGGCUUUGUAAGUCAGGGGUGAAAGCCUGGAGCUCAACUCCAGAACUGCCUUUGAGACUGCAUCGCUUGAAUCCGGGAGAGGUAAGUGGAAUUCCGAGUGUAGAGGUGAAAUUCGUAGAUAUUCGGAAGAACACCAGUGGCGAAGGCGGCUUACUGGACCGGAAUUGACGCUGAGGUGCGAAAGCGUGGGGAGCAAACAGG
rnacentral:rRNA from 1 species